GGCGAACGACCCCGUCCGAGGCGACCCGGAGAGACUAAUUUUUUGAGCCAACACGCACUCAAAGGGAUCCUCGCUCCGCCUGGCGAUCACACGCCUCUUCGAAGGAAGUGAGACCCGGGUGGGGAGGUUACCCACCGUAUCAAAGAGGGCGUCAAAAAAUCCUCUCCGGCGAGCCACGGCGGGGUCGUUCGCUC
rnacentral:sRNA from 1 species